AUUGAACGCUGGCGGCAUGCCUUACACAUGCAAGUCGAACGGUAACAGGUCUUCGGAUGCUGACGAGUGGCGAACGGGUGAGUAAUACAUCGGAACGUGCCUAGUAGUGGGGGAUAACUACUCGAAAGAGUGGCUAAUACCGCAUGAGAUCUACGGAUGAAAGCAGGGGAUCGCAAGACCUUGUGCUACUAGAGCGGCCGAUGGCAGAUUAGGUAGUUGGUGGGAUAAAAGCCUACCAAGCCGACGAUCUGUAGCUGGUCUGAGAGGACGAUCAGCCACACUGGGACGGAGACACGGCCCAGACUCCUACGGGAGGCAGCAGUGGGGAAUUUUGGACAAUGGGCGAAAGCCUGACCCAGCAAUGCCGCGUGCAGGAUGAAGGCCUUCGGGUUGUAAACUGCUUUUGUACGGAACGAAAAGCCCCGGGUUAAUACCCUGGGGUCAUGACGGUACCGUAAGAAUAAGCACCGGCUAACUACGUGCCAGCCGCCGCCGUAA
rnacentral:rRNA from 1 species